UUACAAGUCCCAACACUCCUAACCAUGGCCUCCUCCUCCCACCAAGAAGAACUGCAUGAACAAGGCCAGGAAGACGAAGAAGGGGAAGACCACGACCAGCAUGGUGACCAAAUCACCGCCCCACUUCCCAUCAAGUUCGCCCGAGGAAGGAGAAGAAUGGGAGGAGGCGGAGAACUCGCCGGUGGAGCAGGUGGCGCUGACGGUGCCGGUGGGAGACGACCCGUCGACGCCGGUGCUGACGUUCCGGAUGUGGGUGCUCGGCGCGACCGCCUGCGUGGCGCUCUCCUUCCUCAACACCUUCUUCGGGUACCGCAAGGAGCCGCUGGAGAUCACGGCCAUCUCGGCGCAGGUCGCCGUGGUGCCGCUGGGCCGGCUCAUGGCCGCGGCGCUGCCCGAGCGCGCCUUCUUCCGGGGCCGGCGGUGGGAGUUCACGCUCAACCCGGGGCCGUUCAACGUCAAGGAGCACGUGCUCAUCACCAUCUUCGCCAACGCCGGCGCCGGCAGCGUCUUCGCCAUCAACCUCGUCACGGCCCUCCGGGUCUUCUACGGCAAGCCCAUCUCCUUCUUGGUCUCCCUCCUCGUCGUCCUCACCAGCCAGGUGCUGGGGUUCGGGUGGGCGGGCAUAUUCCGGCGGUAUCUCGUGGAGCCGGCGGCGAUGUGGUGGCCGUCCAACCUUGUGCAGGUCUCCCUCUUCAGGGCACUUCAUGAGAAGGAACGAAGGCGCAAAGGCGGCAUGACGCGCACUCAAUUCUUCAUGGUGGCAUUCGCGUGCAGUUUUGCCUACUACAUCUUCCCAGGCUACCUGUUUGAGAUGCUCACUUCCAUUUCCUGGAUCUGUUGGAUCUUCCCCGCCUCUGUAGUCGCUCAACAGCUUGGCUCAGGCCUCCACGGCCUUGGCAUAGGUGCAAUUGGGCUUGACUGGUCAUCCAUCUCCUCGUACCUCGGAAGCCCUCUCGCUAGCCCCUUGUUUGCCACUGCCAACAUUGCCGUGGGCUUCUUCAUCUACAUUUAUCUAGUCACGCCCAUCGCCUACUGGUUCAACGUCUACAAGGCGCGGAACUUCCCCAUCUUUUCAGAUGGUCUCUUUACGGCGACUGGUCAGAAAUACAACAUCUCUAGUAUUGUGGAUUCCGAGUUCCACUUCGAUGCAAAUGCCUAUGAGAAGAAUGGGCCACUAUACAUAAGCACAUUCUUUGCUGUCAGCUAUGGUCUUGGUUUUGCUUGCCUGACCGCAACGAUUGUCCAUGUUAUCCUUUUCCAUGGAAGUGAAAUUUGGCAGUUAAGCAAAUCAGCUUUCCAGGAUAGAAAGAUGGAUGUACACACAAAGCUUAUGAGGAGAUACAGGCAGGUCCCUGAAUGGUGGUUUAUUUGCAUCCUUGUCGCCAGUGCUGCAAUCACCGUGUUCACUUGUGAGUACUACAUUGAGCAACUUCAGUUACCCUGGUGGGGGAUACUGCUUGCAUGUGCCCUUUCCAUUUUCUACACCCUUCCAAUUGGAAUCAUCACAGCAACAACCAACCAGACUCCAGGUUUGAAUAUCAUCACGGAGUACAUCAUGGGUUACUUAUAUCCUGGACGACCUGUUGCAAACAUGUGUUUCAAGGUAUAUGGCCACGUUGCCCCUCGUCAAGCUCUAGCAUUUCUGCAAGAUUUUAAGUUGGGCCACUACAUGAAGAUUCCCCCAAGGACCAUGUUUAUGGCUCAGGUUGUAGGCACUUUGAUAUCAGCAUUUGUGUACCUUGGAACAGCAUGGUGGAUGAUGGACACAAUCCCCAAUAUGUGCAACACCGAGCUCCUCCCAGCAGGCAGCCCUUGGACCUGCCCUUACGAUCAUUUAUUCUACGAUGCAUCAGUCAUAUGGGGCCUUAUCAGCCCACGCAGAAUAUUCGGUGAUUUGGGAACUUACUCUGCUGUGAACUGGUUCUUUUUGGGCGGUGCCAUUGCUCCCCUCCUUGUCUGGCUUGCACACAAGGCAUUCCCAGGCCAAAAAUGGAUCUUACUUGUCAAUAUGCCUGUGCUGCUUGGUGGAAUCAGUCAUAUGCCUCCUGCCACUGCAGUCAACUACACGGCGUGGAUAUGCGUUGCAUUUUUGUCAGGUUAUGUGGUCUAUAAGUACCGACAUAACUGGUGGAAGAGACACAAUUACCUUCUUUCAGGUGCCCUUGAUUCUGGUUUGGCAUUCAUGGCUGUCUUGAUAUAUUUAUGCCUGGAACUAGAUAACAUCACUUUGAACUGGUGGGGCAAUGUCUCAGAUGGAUGUCCUCUGGCUUCUUGCCCCACUGCAAAGGGUAUAAUUGUACAUGGUUGUCCGGUGCAUAAUUGAGAAUAUUCUCAUGCAUCCACGGCAGGCCUGAGGAUAAAAUUGAGAGCAAGAAAAGAUGAAUGAGGGCUCCAGGGAUGAGAGAUUUUGCAUGGUAUUCUCCUUUGUAUAUAAAGAUUUAGAACAUUCACUAAAGGUCUGCAUUUAGAAAGAAUAAAGAAGAAAUUGCUUUCAGGUGCCCUUGAUGCUGCUUUGGCUUUAAUGGUCGUCUCAAUCUAUUUAUACAUAGGAAUAGAGAACAUCAGUUUAGAUUGGUGGGGAAAUGGUUUGGAUGGCGUCUUGCCCCACUGCAAAGGCAUAACUAUAGAAGAAUACCCGGCACAUAACUAAGAAUCUUCUCGUCCAUGGUGGGGGAUAAAAAACUGAAUUGUCUUAACGAUCUGUUUGGAUGUCUG
rnacentral:rRNA from 1 species